rnacentral:rRNA from 1 species
CCAAUAGCGUAUAUUAAAGUUGUUGCAGUUAAAAAGCUCGUAGUUGAACUUCGGGGUUUACCCAUUGGUCAGGCUUAAUUGUCUGUACUGGUGAGAUGAAUCUCUACCUUCUGAGGAACUUUCAUGCCAUUUAGUUGGUGUGAUAGGAAAUCAGGACUGUUACUUUGAAAAAAUUAGAGUGUUUAAAGCAGGCUAACGUCUGAAUACAUUAGUAUGGAAUAAUGAAAUAGGACGGACUGGUUCUAUUUCGUUGGUUUCUAGGAUCACCGUAAUGAUUAAUAGGGAUAGUUGGGGGCAUUAGUAUUCAAUUGUCAGAGGUGAAAUUCUUGGAUUUAUUGAAGACUAACUAUUGCGAAAGCAUUUGCCAAGGAUGUUUUCAUUAAUCAAGAACGAAAGUUAGGGGAUCGAAGACGAUCAGAUACCGUCGUAGUCUUAACCAUAAACUAUGCCGACUAGGGAUCGGACGAAGUUAAUUUUAUAAUGACGCGUUCGGCACCUUACG